CGAGAGAGAGCUUGCUUUCUCGAGCGAGUGGCGAACGGGUGAGUAACGCGUGAGGAACCUGCCUCAAAGAGGGGGACAACAGUUGGAAACGACUGCUAAUACCGCAUAAGCCCACGACCCGGCAUCGGGUAGAGGGAAAAGGAGCAAUCCGCUUUGAGAUGGCCUCGCGUCCGAUUAGCUAGUUGGUGAGGUAACGGCCCACCAAGGCGACGAUCGGUAGCCGGACUGAGAGGUUGAACGGCCACAUUGGGACUGAGACACGGCCCAGACUCCUACGGGAGGCAGCAGUGGGGAAUAUUGCACAAUGGGGGAAACCCUGAUGCAGCGACGCCGCGUGGAGGAAGAAGGUCUUCGGAUUGUAAACUCCUGUUGUUGAGGAAGAUAAUGACGGUACUCAACAAGGAAGUGACGGCUAACUACGUGCCAGCAGCCGCGGUAAAACGUAGGUCACAAGCGUUGUCCGGAAUUACUGGGUGUAAAGGGAGCGCAGGCGGGAAGACAAGUUGGAAGUGAAAUCCAUGGGCUCAACCCAUGAACUGCUUUCAAAACUGUUUUUCUUGAGUAGUGCAGAGGUAGGCGGAAUUCCCGGUGUAGCGGUGGAAUGCGUAGAUAUCGGGAGGAACACCAGUGGCGAAGGCGGCCUACUGGGCACCAACUGACGCUGAGGCUCGAAAGUGUGGGUAGCAAACAGG
rnacentral:rRNA from 1 species